rnacentral:rRNA from 1 species
UACGUAGGGUGCGAGCGUUAAUCGGAAUUACUGGGCGUAAAGUGUGCGCAGGCGGCAGAGCAAGUCGAGUGUGAAAGCCCCGGGCUUAACUUGGGAAUUGCGCUCGAAACUACUUUGCUGGAGUGUGGCAGAGGAAGGUGGAAUUCCACGUGUAGCGGUGGAAAUGCGUAGAGAUGUGGAGGAACACCAAUGGCGAAGGCAGCCUUCUCGGGCCAACACGUGAACGCUCAUGCACGAAAGCGUGGGGAGCAAACAGG